GUGCAAGCUGUUAUUUGUCUUCAAGAUUGGCGUCGAAAUGAGCCUUAUCCCAUAAAUGUUGAAGAAGAUUUUAAUGAUCUUAUGAAACUUGAACUUGCUAUGGAUGAUAUUGACUUGCAUUGUUCAAGCUGAAAAACAGUAAAAGCAAAUUUUGGACUCUAUUUCCUCUGCUGCUACUGUGUCUGACUUCUGAUUUUGGAGCUGCUUCAGGUGGUGGUGUUGUUGUGUGUAGUGUGCUGCUGCUGCAGGUGCUGUUGACUGUUGUUGUGUUGCUCCUG